rnacentral:tRNA from 1 species
UCCCAUGUGGCUCAGUUGGUAGAGCAUGGGGCUUGCAACGCCAGGGGUUCAAUUCCCACAGGGGAC